rnacentral:lncRNA from 1 species
GUUUUGCGACAUCGUGUUAAUUAUGUGCUUCAGUAUAGCAACCUGUCCAUUUUUACUCCACUAAGCCUAUAUGUCUAUAACUAACUGACUGACACAUGUCCCGCUGCUGUUGCAGUCAACCACCUUGGACAUGGUGAAGCAGUGGGCCACAGAUGUGGGCGGUGGAGAUUGCAACAGCCAUGAUGACAGCAAAGGCCGCCUCAAAGCGCAGCAGUUCUGCGCCUGAUGUCGUCUUGACCUAAGCGGAUCUCCCCUUCAUGGAAACAAAGGCGAAGGGGAAGGGGGGCAAGAAACGACGGUGGUAAUGGAUGCACGUUUAUUUUGGGACGAAUGCACAUGUAAUGUGAUGAACAGCUGCAUUGUCUUCUUUUGUGGAGGUGCCUUUUCUUAGGGCUGAAAGCACGUUCGUAUCACAUGAUCAUGAUCAGCCGUGUCUUGAGACGGCUUGGCUUAUAAGCAAAUCCAUCUCAAGACACGGCUGAUCACGUGAUAAGNNNNNNNNNNNNNNNNNNNNNNNNNNNNNNNNNNNNNNNNNNNNNNNNNNAGAGUGAGAGACACUGAGGCACUAUAUUUCGCCCACUCAGGAUGAUUGGGACGAACACCUGCCACUCAUUGAGUUCGCUAUUAAUAACUCGAGGCAGAGCUCAACGGGUGCCACCCCGUUUAGCCUUAAUGGUAUCAAGCAGCCACAUGUGCUGGUUGACUUGCACCUGAAAACCAAAGUGCCUGCCGCUGACCUCUAUCCCAAGGUCAUGCACAAACGUAUUGGACCGCAAAACUUAAGGCUGUGCAAUCCCGCCAGUGCAAUGUUGUCGACAAGCACCGGCAUGUGGUGCGUUUUGAGGUUGGGGAAUCCGUGCUGCUCAGCACCCGCAACAUCCAGUUGAAAUCUCCUGGAGCAAAGAAAUUAUUGCCUAAGUUUAUUGGGCCAUAUAAGGUUGUCGCUCGAGUGGGAGAGAAUGCGGUAAUAUUGUGAUUACCCGCGACUUCCCGACUCCAUCCAGUCUUCCACGUAUCCUUGCUCAAACCAUUCAAGGACGAUGGAACACGACAACCGCCGCCCCCGUUCAUAAUUGAUGAAGAGCCAUAUUACAUGGUCGAGGCACUACUUGACCACCGUGAUGUGAAAAUCCGAGGUGGAACCGGCAAAACACGUCGAGAAUAUCUGGUUAAAUGGGAAGGCUAUGACUCCAGUCAUAACACCUAUGAGCCGGAAGAUUCCCUGCAUCAGUCCGUUCCCCUGGCCAAAGCUAUUGACGACUAUGAACGACGGUUGGCAGCAAAGUCGGGGCAACCUACACCAAAAAGAAAAGUGGUCCUGACCACCUCUCCUUUGGUAGCACCCCGGAACACUACCCCAGAACAACCGAAACGGAAAGCACCUGCUCUCAAGAAAAGGUGACACUCCUGGAACGGUUCACUUCUGAGGGGGAGGGAUGUAGCAAGCUACAUUUACCUUAGAAAGCUAUUAAUGCUUAAUCACAGUAACGGUACGGUCCCGUAGUUAUGAACCAUACUCGUUAACUGUAUGAACUCACUUUCUGUUGCGCUAUCACAACCUAGUGUACGACACCAAGACUCCAGGAAUGGAGAUGGCAGCAGGUGGGCCGCAUUUAACCACCCAGGUGAAGUGCUUCGGCCAGACACUUCUGUAUCACUAUACUAGUGUUCAGGGUUCAAGACCUUGCUGACUUCCUGUGUCUUUUCUCAUGUCUAACGCUGAGCCGUCAAUCGUGGUCGAGACCCUCCUCUUCCACGGCCUUACAUCUCAAGUCUUCCGCUAAAAUGCCUAAGGUAAGAGAUGGCUGUUACAGGCAAUCCUACAGGUCGGGACCACCCUGGGCGCUUCAUGCUGGGGCCCCGCCCAAAAAGGGGGUGCUGAAAAACUGGCUGUAAAGGAGGUCCAGAUCCAUAUCAUGUGCCUGUUGGAGGAGCAUAAGGAGACCCAGUUCCAGACAGUUGUCACCAGGAUGGCAAAGGAGCUCAAGGAUGCACAGACCGUCAUUCGGAGCCAAGAAGCCAGCAUCAGCAUGCUCACGUGGGUUCUCUCUUGGCACAUGCAUGUUGCUGCAGCCAGAUGGGCGGUGUUACCCACACCAUGUGCAGGGUUCUUUAGAUUCCACCCAUGCACCACUGCUGGUUUGUGAUCCCAUGUAAGGAGCACUCAUUGGGUGGCGACACUGAUGCGGUUCACGAGGCGAUUCAGAGCUUCUACGAGGUGCAGAACGCCAAGGCCAGGGCACAGGGAAUGGAUGAUGCCUAUUUGGGCCCUGGAGCUCUCAUCCACAGCAUUCCCAGGCAGCUAUUGGAAUGAUGACCAGGAUAUUCAUCUUGCAGAUACCUUAGUCGAGCGAUGAGCUCGUCCUUUGACUUUAGCUCCUCUUCCUUUGGCUUGAGCGUUUGCAUCAUUAUGAUUUCGUGCGCCACCAACGCAUUGGGACCUCCGGCGAUGAUCCUUUUACGCAAUUCAUCCUCGUUAAGUUGUUUAUCCGUUGCGGGGCAAUGUAUUCUUUAAAAUAAUUUAAUCUUUUUAUACUAAUAAAAAAACAAUGCAUGUGAU